GGUUAAGCGACUAAGCGUACACGGUGGAUGCCCUGGCAGUCAGAGGCGAUGAAGGACGUGCUAAUCUGCGAUAAGCGUCGGUGAGGUGAUAUGAACCGUUAUAACCGGCGAUUUCCGAAUGGGGAAACCCAGUGUGAUUCGUCACACUAUCAUUAACUGAAUCCAUAGGUUAAUGAGGCGAACCGGGGGAACUGAAACAUCUAAGUACCCCGAGGAAAAGAAAUCAACCGAGAUUCCCCCAGUAGCGGCGAGCGAACGGGGAGGAGCCCAGAGCCUGAAUCAGUGUGUGUGUUAGUGGAAGCGUCUGGAAAGGCGUGCGAUACAGGGUGACAGCCCCGUACACAAAAAUGCACAUAUUGUGAGCUCGAUGAGUAGGGCGGGACACGUGGUAUCCUGUCUGAAUAUGGGGGGACCAUCCUCCAAGGCUAAAUACUCCUGACUGACCGAUAGUGAACCAGUACCGUGAGGGAAAGGCGAAAAGAACCCCGGCGAGGGGAGUGAAAAAGAACCUGAAACCGUGUACGUACAAGCAGUGGGAGCCUCUUAAUGGGGUGACUGCGUACCUUUUGUAUAAUGGGUCAGCGACUUAUAUUCUGUAGCAAGGUUAACCGAAUAGGGGAGCCGAAGGGAAACCGAGUCUUAACUGGGCGUUAAGUUGCAGGGUAUAGACCCGAAACCCGGUGAUCUAGCCAUGGGCAGGUUGAAGGUUGGGUAACACUAACUGGAGGACCGAACCGACUAAUGUUGAAAAAUUAGCGGAUGACUUGUGGCUGGGGGUGAAAGGCCAAUCAAACCGGGAGAUAGCUGGUUCUCCCCGAAAGCUAUUUAGGUAGCGCCUCGUGAAUUCAUCUCCGGGGGUAGAGCACUGUUUCGGCAAGGGGGUCAUCCCGACUUACCAACCCGAUGCAAACUGCGAAUACCGGAGAAUGUUAUCACGGGAGACACACGGCGGGUGCUAACGUCCGUCGUGAAGAGGGAAACAACCCAGACCGCCAGCUAAGGUCCCAAAGUCAUGGUUAAGUGGGAAACGAUGUGGGAAGGCCCAGACAGCCAGGAUGUUGGCUUAGAAGCAGCCAUCAUUUAAAGAAAGCGUAAUAGCUCACUGGUCGAGUCGGCCUGCGCGGAAGAUGUAACGGGGCUAAACCAUGCACCGAAGCUGCGGCAGCGACACUAUGUGUUGUUGGGUAGGGGAGCGUUCUGUAAGCCUGUGAAGGUGGCCUGUGAGGGUUGCUGGAGGUAUCAGAAGUGCGAAUGCUGACAUAAGUAACGAUAAAGCGGGUGAAAAGCCCGCUCGCCGGAAGACCAAGGGUUCCUGUCCAACGUUAAUCGGGGCAGGGUGAGUCGACCCCUAAGGCGAGGCCGAAAGGCGUAGUCGAUGGGAAACAGGUUAAUAUUCCUGUACUUGGUGUUACUGCGAAGGGGGGACGGAGAAGGCUAUGUUGGCCGGGCGACGGUUGUCCCGGUUUAAGCGUGUAGGCUGGUUUUCCAGGCAAAUCCGGAAAACCAAGGCUGAGGCGUGAUGACGAGGCACUACGGUGCUGAAGCGACAAAUGCCCUGCUUCCAGGAAAAGCCUCUAAGCAUCAGGUAACAUCAAAUCGUACCCCAAACCGACACAGGUGGUCAGGUAGAGAAUACCAAGGCGCUUGAGAGAACUCGGGUGAAGGAACUAGGCAAAAUGGUGCCGUAACUUCGGGAGAAGGCACGCUGAUAUGUAGGUGAAGCGACUUGCUCGUGGAGCUGAAAUCAGUCGAAGAUACCAGCUGGCUGCAACUGUUUAUUAAAAACACAGCACUGUGCAAACACGAAAGUGGACGUAUACGGUGUGACGCCUGCCCGGUGCCGGAAGGUUAAUUGAUGGGGUUAGCGGCAACGCGAAGCUCUUGAUCGAAGCCCCGGUAAACGGCGGCCGUAACUAUAACGGUCCUAAGGUAGCGAAAUUCCUUGUCGGGUAAGUUCCGACCUGCACGAAUGGCGUAAUGAUGGCCAGGCUGUCUCCACCCGAGACUCAGUGAAAUUGAACUCGCUGUGAAGAUGCAGUGUACCCGCGGCAAGACGGAAAGACCCCGUGAACCUUUACUAUAGCUUGACACUGAACAUUGAGCCUUGAUGUGUAGGAUAGGUGGGAGGCUUUGAAGUGUGGACGCCAGUCUGCAUGGAGCCGACCUUGAAAUACCACCCUUUAAUGUUUGAUGUUCUAACGUUGGCCCGUAAUCCGGGUUGCGGACAGUGUCUGGUGGGUAGUUUGACUGGGGCGGUCUCCUCCUAAAGAGUAACGGAGGAGCACGAAGGUUGGCUAAUCCUGGUCGGACAUCAGGAGGUUAGUGCAAUGGCAUAAGCCAGCUUGACUGCGAGCGUGACGGCGCGAGCAGGUGCGAAAGCAGGUCAUAGUGAUCCGGUGGUUCUGAAUGGAAGGGCCAUCGCUCAACGGAUAAAAGGUACUCCGGGGAUAACAGGCUGAUACCGCCCAAGAGUUCAUAUCGACGGCGGUGUUUGGCACCUCGAUGUCGGCUCAUCACAUCCUGGGGCUGAAGUAGGUCCCAAGGGUAUGGCUGUUCGCCAUUUAAAGUGGUACGCGAGCUGGGUUUAGAACGUCGUGAGACAGUUCGGUCCCUAUCUGCCGUGGGCGCUGGAGAACUGAGGGGGGCUGCUCCUAGUACGAGAGGACCGGAGUGGACGCAUCACUGGUGUUCGGGUUGUCAUGCCAAUGGCACUGCCCGGUAGCUAAAUGCGGAAGAGAUAAGUGCUGAAAGCAUCUAAGCACGAAACUUGCCCCGAGAUGAGUUCUCCCUGAGACUUAGAGUCUCCUGAAGGAACGUUGAAGACGACGACGUUGAUAGGCCGGGUGUGUAAGCGCAGCGAUGCGUUGAGCUAACCGGUACUAAUGAACCGUGAGGCUUAACCUU
rnacentral:rRNA from 1 species